UACAGAGGGUGCAAGCGUUAAUCGGAUUUACUGGGCGUAAAGCGUGCGUAGGCGGUUCGCUAAGUCGGUUGUGAAAUCCCCAGGCUUAACCUGGGAACUGCAUCCGAUACUGGAUGGCUUGAAUCCGGGAGAGGGAUGCAGAAUUCCAGGUGUAGCGGUGAAAUGCGUAGAUAUCUGGAGGAAUACCGGUGGCGAAGGCGGCAUCCUGGACCGGCAUUGACGCUGAUGAGCGAAAGCUAGGGGAGCAAACGGG
rnacentral:rRNA from 1 species